rnacentral:misc_RNA from 1 species
GAAAUGCGAUAAGUAGUGUGAAUUGCAGAAUUCAGUGAAUCAUCGAAUCUUUGAACGCACAUUGCGCCCUUUGGUAUUCCUUAGGGCAUGCCUGUUCGAGCGUCAUCUAAACCUUUAAGCCCUGCUUGGUGUUGGGUGCCUGUCCCGCCUCCGCGCGCGGACUCACCUCAAAUCCAUUGGCGGCCCCCGCGUCGGCCACGAGCGCAGCAGAAACGCGAACUCGUGAGCCCGUCCGGGCGGCUCCCAGAAGCUACACCCACCCAGUUUGACCUCGGAUCAGGUAGGGAUACCCGCUGAACUUAAGC